AGACGUUAGCUCAGUUGGGUAGAGCAGCGGAUGUUCUCCGCGGGUCACCGGUUCGAUUCCGGUACGUCAACCA
rnacentral:tRNA from 1 species